rnacentral:rRNA from 1 species
UGGUCAAGUUAUUAAGGGUGCAGGGCGGAUGCCUUGGCACUAGGAGCCGAUGAAGGACGUGAUAAGCUGCGAUAAGCUUCGGGGAGUUGCACGUAAACUUUGAUCCGAAGAUUUCCGAAUGAGGAAACUCACUUAGAGUAAUGUCUAAGUAUCAUUAAGUGAAUACAUAGCUUAAUGAGGGGAACUCAGGGAACUGAAACAUCUAAGUACCUGAAGGAAGAGAAAGAAAUUCGAUUCCGUAAGUAGCGGCGAGCGAACGCGGAUUAGCCCAAACCAAUAAAGUUUUCUUUAUUGGGGUUGGGGAACUAC